rnacentral:rRNA from 1 species
GUGCCAGCAGCCGCGGUAAGACGAACCGUGCGAACGUUAUUCGGAAUCACUGGGCUUAAAGCGCGUGUAGGCGGGCCGCCACGUCGGGCGCUGAAAUCCCCCGGCUCAACCGGGGAACGGGCACCGAUACGAGCGGCCUGGAGGGGAGUAGGGGGACCUGGAACUUCCGGUGGAGCGGUGAAAUGCGUUGAGAUCGGAAGGAACGCCCGUGGCGAAAGCGAGGUCCUGGGCUCCUGCUGACGCUGAGACGCGAAAGCCAGGGGAGCGAACGGGAUUAGAUACCCCCGUAGUCC